rnacentral:lncRNA from 1 species
UAGAGUUGCUUAAUAUUCUCUACCUUUAACAAAAAAGGAAACUGUGGCACAAAGAGGAUCAGAGUCCCACGCGGGGACCCAGAAGUCAGGGCAAGACCAGGAACAGACACCAGUGUCCCUUUCAGAGCCAACUUUCACAGAAUCAGAUCGAACUACUGUGAGCUCAUCAGAACAUUUCUCCAGUAACGACCGAAGUCUGAAUGUGCAACAGCAAAUUCAUGCAACAGCCCCUCCUGGCCGUAGGCGGAGGGAAGCGCUGUGGGUCAAGGAGAAUGGAGCUGUUAACAUCACUCCUAUGACAAAAAGAAGACCAGGAAGGAGGAUACAGACACGAAAUGAAUUCAAGGGAAUACAACAAACAGGAACUUCUGGAAUUCACUACCAGAGUCAAAGGCCAAGCCACGUUUCUCUGUCCUCCUGCCUGGCUUCAAUGCACCAUGAACCAGGACCCCAGCCUAGCCGGAAUCGGACCUUCAUACAGAACAAGGUUUUGUGUGAUGAAGAAGGAAAACCUCUGAAAUGUGAAUUUAAAAGUCAAGCACCCAAGAACCCCAGCUAUCUCAUCAACACUUCAGAUACCUCAGAAAUGCAUUGGAAUUUUUAAAAAAUUGAUUCUACAAAUCCCCUGCUUCUCUUCAGACCACGUGGGGUUUGCAGCAGAAUACAUGCCAUAUAGACACAUCCCCUGAAGUGUAAUAGAUUUGAAUUGCACAC